UACAGGGGGGGCAAGCGUUGUUCGGAAUUACUGGGCGUAAAGGGCUCGUAGGUGGCCAACUAAGUCAGACGUGAAAUCCCUCAGCUUAACUGGGGAACUGCGUCUGAUACUGGAUGGCUUGAGUUUGGGAGAGGGAUGCGGAAUUCCGGGUGUAGCGGUGAAAUGCGUAGAUAUCUGGAGGAACACCGGUGGCGAAGGCGGCAUCCUGGACCAACACUGACACUGAGGAGCGAAAGCCAGGGGAGCAAACGGG
rnacentral:rRNA from 1 species